UACGAAGGGGGCUAGCGUUGCUCGGAUUUACUGGGCGUAAAGGGCGCGUAGGCGGACAUUUAAGUCAGGGGUGAAAUCCCAGAGCUCAACUCUGGAACUGCCUUUGAUACUGGGUGUCUUGAGUGUGAGAGGGGUAUGUGGAACUCCGAGUGUAGAGGUGAAAUUCGUAGAUAUUCGGAAGAACACCAGUGGCGAAGGCGACAUACUGGCUCAUUACUGACGCUGAGGCGCGAAAGCGUGGGGAGCAAACAGG
rnacentral:rRNA from 1 species